rnacentral:lncRNA from 1 species
AGCAGUCCCGUUAGAUUUUCUUCUACUCAAAUUAGGCAUGAUCAAAGAAUGGAUACAUUUCAUUAAUUAGACAUUGAGAUAGUCAUGUAUACAAUAUCAAUUCGUUAAAAUUAGUUACUUAAUUUUAAAAUCUCAAAAUGCAUACAUUUUCAUACCGGAUGUGGAAUAAGUGAUUCAAAUAUAUCAUGACAAUUUGACUUUUCAAACACCAAUACACUACCUACUCUAUAUCUACGGAGCCCCUAACAAAUAAAAAGAAUACUAUGAUAGUACCGGCAACAAGGCUCCGACUAUACCUCAAAGGCCAAGUUAAAACAUAAAAUUUUUAAUAAAUAUAAAAAUAAGACGGUGAAGGUGAUAAUCGGAAUAUGAAUAUAAUAUUAUUUUUGAUUGGGAGAUUUUUAGCACCAAUGUACCACUGUUCUUAAUACCACAGUUCACAAUACCAAUGUCCACAAUAUCACUAUUCACAAUACCACCAUGCUCUUUGUACGAAGUUCGAUCACGGGCUGAUCGGUUAGGCCAUCUCAUCCGAGACAUCAACCACAAUCACAAUUUUUGUGCAAAUAUACCAUCGUGAAUUUAGAACGGAGUUCGAUCACGACCCUAUCGACUAGGUCGUAUUAUUUGAAGACAUCAACCACAAUCACAAUCUCGAUCACAACUUCAAUUACAAUUUUAAUUAUAAUUUUCAGUACAAUCACCAGCGUGUGUGACAUUGGCGUUCGAUCAAGAUCCAAUUGGCUAGGUUGUUUCAUACAAGACAUCAAGCACAAUCACAAUAACAAUAUUUCCUUGGAUCUUUUGUCCAUGCACAAGAUUCUUUAUUGAUGGUACGAUGGCCGUAUUUUAUGUUCCACGCUUUCACCUAUUUUAUUUUCAAGGAUCAUCAAAUAUCAACAUAUAGAAUAUUUCGGGAAUUAUAAACUUCAAAUUCAUUUGUAAUGAAAACUUUAACACAAAAGAUUUCACCGCAAAGAAUGGGGCACACCGACCAUCAAUAGAUGCACACAUCAAAAUCAUAAACAAGCAAUACAGUAUUUAUUCCUGAAAUAAUCUUUCCCAAAAACGGUAAUGUACAAUUUCAACACCUGAGUAUGUAAGAACUCGAAUCACAUUGAGUAUAUCUAUAAAUCAAAGCAUUAGUUAAUACAACCACUUAUGUACAUGAAUUGAGUACAAAAGCUUUCGGGCAAAUCUAUUUUUUAAGUCAUUUUUAAAAAGUUGAGUCGAGGCCCAUUUUAUAAUCUUUCCCACAUCUUCUCUUUUUAUUGACGCAACUAGCCACAAUUAUAACUUAAAUCUUGGCACAUUGGUCAUACUUUAUAUUCCCAAUUCACUUAUUUCAUUUUAAACAUCCUUAUAGACUAUUAACAACAAGAAGUUUCCAAUCAAAACCUUUAGGUACACAUAUGAGCAAUUAAAAGUCUUAAACAUAUCGAUUUUUUCUCACAUAAUUUGGUAUCAUAACCUUUAGUUUAAACGCAACUCAAAACCAUAAUAUUUUAAUAUACAUAUUAUUCUUGAACACAUGCUUGAAGGAUAACAUAAUAUAAUAGGAAUAAUUAGAACACAUUGUCACAAUCAGAAAUCAAACAAGAGCCAGUAACCAAUUCAAUAAUCCAGGAAGAGUUUGAAACCAUGCAAAAACCAGGAAAUCAACCACAAACCACUUGAAUACACUCAAAUGAAAUCGAAAUUUGACCCAGGAAUAACAGAACACCUUCGGCAAUCAGAAACAACCAACAACAACUCGAAUAAACCCCAAACGACUCUAUGCUUUAAAUCUCGAAUAUGGAACAGAAACAGAGAAGUUCAAGCUGUUUUUUUAUCCUAAAUGAGCUAAAGAACUGAAUUACUGGCUGAAAAUUUGAAAAUGAUCUAAGGAAAAGCAAUGAAACUGUAUUUUUGGAGUUUUUACUAUAUUUUUGUUUGUUUUUUUGGAUUUUUCUGAUUUUUUUGGCAUAAUCUAAGAUCUAAAAGAGCAGUUUUCUACUUCUUUUGAUUUGAAAUUCAAAAUUUAGGCUCAAAUUUGCAAAGAUGGUUUUAGGGAGAAUUUUUGGGGCUCAAAACUUGUCAAUUAAUAGGCACUAAAGGCUGCCUUAUAUAGGCAACACCUAAGGGGCAACCCUCAGAUUUUUCUUUUUCAUUCUAUCCCGUUUUUAAUUUUUAUUUUUGCCUAAAUGUCCCUAGAGUUGUGACUUAUGUUUCAAGUUAUCUCAUAAAGUUUCCUAAAAUUCUGAUUUGACCCUAUCUAGAAUGUUCUGGGACUUCUACUAGUUGCUACCAAGAUUCUUUUAUUAAAAUGCCUAACUUACCCCUUUUCCUAACUAACUCUACUAGUUUUACUUCAAUUAACCCCAACCCUCUUCUAAACUAUCUAAACACUAUCAGCUAUAACCAAACAACCCACUUAACUAAGGUUAAACAAAGAAAACCAAAAUCAGCAGUUCAAAUCAAAUAAAACCCCUAACUGGACAAAUCAAACUGAUAUGAACCUAAAUCAAAUUGCAAUGACUAAUUGACUAAAACACAUAAUCAAGAUUAAAAUAGACUACAAUUGUAUACGGAAACUUAACAUACCAAUUAAUAUGAAGAAACUAAUCAAAACAGCCAAAUGCAUUUAAUUAAUCAUGCCAUGCUUAACUCCAAAUCGAACACAAUUGACUUAUCGAACCAAUACACACUAUUGAUCAAAAGAGAAUGAACAACAAACAAAUGAAAAAAAAACAACUAACCUAAUCAGAUACUAGCUUAACGAACUGAUAAAAGAAAAUGAGGAAAAAUAAACUAAAAUCCUAAACUGAUUAAUCGGCAGGAAUAUCAGUUAAUAAGAGGAAAAUAAUAAAGAAGGACCAAGAAAACCUUACCUAUGGAGCCGGGAACGAAGACUGAAAAACUCGAUUCGAGCCUAGAAAUAAUGUUAAUCAUUUGUUCUUCUCAAAGAACAAACGAAAAUGUUAUUUCAUGACUCGAACCGAAUAGCAGAUUCAGGAAGUUGGUAAAACUCGAGCAAAAUUGAACUCCUAGGGUUCUGCCUUCUCUAUGCUUUGCGAUUCGAGCAGUUCCGUUGAUGUUCGAAGAAAACCAAUGAGGGAUUCAGGAAGAGGGGAAUCAGUAGAAUAUAGGGUGUGAUUUAAGGUGUUUUGGUGCAGGUAAUGUUUUGACCGGAUUUUUGAUCCGAUAUUUGAAACGAAUAGUGUUGAUUCGAGGUAAAUAGUUUAGAUAUUUGGGAUGAAGGAGUUGAGGCGAGGCUAGGGUGUUAGUUUGGGGCCGGUUCGUGAUGGCGCCACCAUCGGAGACGGUGGGAAUUUGGUGGCGGGCUGGCGAGGGUUUUGGGGUUGGGUCUCAGAUGGGUUGGACUGAGAGAGACGAUGAUGGGGUAGGGGGAAGUUUUGGACACUUAUAUACAUAUAACUCCCCAGAUGAGAGCCGUUCGAUCUGUUAACCUGGAUGGCCAGGAUCUACUGAAGAUGAAACGGUGUCGUUUAGGGGGACGGAGAUUUGGACCGGGUAUGGGGAGAUUGGGCUGAGGACUGGGGUGGUAUUUGGAUUGGGCUAGGCAUAAUUAGUUUUAAAAAAUAACCCAAUUUCGGGCAUUUUAUUAAGACUACUCUUUCCUUUUUAAAAAAAAAUUUGUUUUCCUUUCUUUUUCAUUUUUUGCUCCUUUUAUUUUAAUUUUUUUAAUUUGGAACUAAUAGAAAUCUAGAUUAAUUCCUAAAAUUAAAGAAAAAACUAAUUAAACUAAAAAUAAAAAUUAGCACAACAAAUUAACACAAAACUACUUGAAAAUUAAAAUCGAAAUUAAAAGUGCAAACUACACUAUACUUUUGAUUUUUCCUUUUAUGAAAAAAUAAAUUUUCUAAUUAAUCCUGAACUGUAAAAUUAACCCUACAUGCACAUGCUAAAUGUAUUUUUUAUAUUUUUCAUAUGAAUUAAAAUGCAUAAAUAAAAUGUAACAAUUAACAGAAAAUAACACAAAAAUUCACAAAAACUAUAAAACAAAGAAAGAAAUCAUUUUGUUUGAAUUUCUGGGAAUAAUUCAUAUAAGAAAAAAUCACGUGCUCACAUACCUUUUGAAUACAUACUUCUCGACACUUUGCUUAUUUAGAAUACAUAUUGAACAUAUAUCUUUUAAUAUAAGGAUCAUCCGCAAUAGUAAAGUUUAUGAUGGAUAACCAGGAAUAUAGGAAUUAGUAAUCUUGAGCCAACCACAAUUGAAGUUACAUGAACAUUGUGAAAUUCGAUUCUAAGAGAGAAAUUUUAGCUAACAUUUCUCAAAUUCGCCCUUUAAUGAUACUACAAUGAUCCACUACAAUAAGAAACUUCAAUCUAAAAUAACAACAUCCAAUGAGAAUAAUAUUAGUAACAAAUUCCAUAGCUUAGGCCAUUUAUAUACUCUAUCAAACACCUAGUAGGCAUAAUUCUCUACAUCUCUUAACCAUAGAAUUAGUUCAUCCAACUACCAUCAUUUACCAAUAAUUUAUCCUACCAUCAUUCUUAAAUAACUAAUAACUCCCAAUAUCACAUGCAUGACCAUUCAUCCACACCCAACCAAUAAAAUUCCAUCAAAUAAUCACUUUUUAAUCUCUACAACGUAUAUGUAUUUAAAUGGGGAAUCUAUGUCUUCUAAUCACCAUCCCAUGAGUUUCAAUACUCAAUUUAUACUCAUAUUACCAUAAUAAAUUCAUCCAUGCAUGUAAGUCUAAGUGUGUAAGGUUACCUUUGGAUGAAAUCUUACAAAACCCUCAUUUAAAUUUUUGAAGAAAUUCUUAAAAAUCUAAGAAUUUCAUAGUGGAGUGAGUUAGUUAUAGUGUGGUAAUGAUAGACAACAUAACAUGGGAUUUAAACAUAAUAUUGAGUCACAAAAUAUUGCACGUACAUACUUUUGAGCAAGAUGCAUCAUUAGUGGAAUAUCUUUAUUAUAUUUCUCUUACAUGUGACCUCUUUGGAAUUGAGUUCUACAAUAAUUUUCUUGAUAGAGUUGCGAUUUUUUGUUAUUACUUGCAACUUGCUUCUCCAAUUUCUCAAAAAAGGACUUUACUUGAUGGGUUUCUUAUAAGACCUUCUACUUCAAAUGAAUAACAUCUUCUAAUUUGUGCACACACCCUCAUAACAAUAACUUGCACUACAUCGCAUUAAAUGUAAAGCAACAUUAUGAUCAGACCUUUCUUAGCCACUAUCUUUAUUUCUUAUGUGCCUUAUAGGAUUUAGGCAAUCACUCUACUUCCUUUGUGAAUAUUAUCACGAUUUCUCUUUACUGUUAAACACCUCCAAAACACAUCUUAACAUCCUAUAUAUAUAUAUGGAGCCCCUAACAAAUAAAAAGAAUACUAUGAUAGUACCGGCAACAAGGCUCCGACUAUACCUCAAAGGCCAAGUUAAAACAUAAAAUUUUUAAUAAAUAUAAAAAUAAGACGGUGAAGGUGAUAAUCGGAAUAUGAAUAUAAUAUUAUUUUUGAUUGGGAGAUUUUUAGCACCAAUGUACCACUGUUCUUAAUACCACAGUUCACAAUACCAAUGUCCACAAUAUCACUAUUCACAAUACCACCAUGCUCUUUGUACGAAGUUCGAUCACGGGCUGAUCGGUUAGGCCAUCUCAUCCGAGACAUCAACCACAAUCACAAUUUUUGUGCAAAUAUACCAUCGUGAAUUUAGAACGGAGUUCGAUCACGACCCUAUCGACUAGGUCGUAUUAUUUGAAGACAUCAACCACAAUCACAAUCUCGAUCACAACUUCAAUUACAAUUUUAAUUAUAAUUUUCAGUACAAUCACCAGCGUGUGUGACAUUGGCGUUCGAUCAAGAUCCAAUUGGCUAGGUUGUUUCAUACAAGACAUCAAGCACAAUCACAAUAACAAUAUUUCCUUGGAUCUUUUGUCCAUGCACAAGAUUCUUUAUU